rnacentral:tRNA from 1 species
UCUGUCGUGGCUCAGUUGGUAAAGAAUCUGCCUGCAAUGCAGGAGACCCAGGUUCGAUUCCUGAGUGGGAAAG